rnacentral:rRNA from 1 species
CAGUAGCCGCGGUAAUACGUAGGGUGCGAGCGUUAAUCGGAAUUACUGGGCGUAAAGCGUGCGCAGGCGGUUAUAUAAGACAGAUGUGAAAUCCCCGGGCUCAACCUGGGACCUGCAUUUGUGACUGUAUAGCUAGAGUACGGUAGAGGGGGAUGGAAUUCCGCGUGUAGCAGUGAAAUGCGUAGAUAUGCGGAGGAACACCGAUGGCGAAGGCAAUCCCCUGGACCUGCACUGACGCUCAUGCACGAAAGCGUGGGGAGCAAGCAGGAUUAGAUACCCCAGUAGUCCCUGUCUCUUAUAC